rnacentral:lncRNA from 1 species
ACCAAAAUUAGGAUAGAGAUAAAAGAAACAGGAGGUGGCAAGUUGAACCCACAAAACUAAGCAAGAGGUGGCUGUAGAAGAGAAGAAGGAUUGUGACUAAGCAGGCAAUUAAAUUAGGAAUUUUUCAUAAAAGAGGAUGUCGGUUAAUAAGCAAUGACUCAUCAGUCAUAUAAGCAGGAGGCGGAGAGCUGGAGAUAUGGGCACUUCAAACAAAGCAGCAGGUGGCGAGUUGUAUGAUUGACGAAGCAAAGAAGAGCAAUACGACAAACAGGAGACGAAGGAUUGGAAAGAAUAAACAUGGGAAAGAGAUUGGUUUCUUAUUGGCUUAAAAUAGUCGGUGACUUGUAGUUGGAGAUUGCACAGCUCGAUCUAGAUUCUAGGGAUUCAAUAUACAUGCAGAUGGAUAACUUUGAUUAAACACUUCACAAAUCGAUUUAGGGAUUCAUAAAUCGAUGGUGAAAUAAAACCUAGGGCUUCAAAUUAAUCAACUU